rnacentral:rRNA from 1 species
GGAAUCUUGCGCAAUGGGCGAAAGCCUGACGCAGCAACGCCGCGUGCGGGAAGAAGGCUUUCGGGCUGUAAACCGCUUUCAGUAGGAACGAAACUGACGGUACCUACAGAAGAAGGAGCGGCCAACUAUGUGCCAGCAGCCGCGGUGACACAUAGGCUCCAAGCGUUGUCCGGAUUUAUUGGGCGUAAAGAGCUCGUAGGCGGUUGAGUAAGUCGGGUGUGAAAACUUUGGGCUUAACCCAAAGAUGCCACUCGAUACUGCUUUGACUUGAGUUCGGUAGGGGAGUGGGGAAUUCCUUGUGUAGCGGUGAAAUGCGCAGAUAUAAGGAGGAACACCGGUGGCGAAGGCGCCACUCUGGGCCGAUACUGACGCUGAGGAGCGAAAGCGUGGGGAGCAAACAGGAUUAGAUACCCUGGUAGUCCACGCAGUAAACGGUGGUCACUAGGUGUGGGUCUCUUCAAACGAGAUCUGCGCCGUCGCUAACGCAUUAAGUGACCCGCCUGGGGAGUACGGUCGCAAGACUAAAACUCAAAGGAAUUGACGG